CCACGUGACCCCGGAGUUGCGCGUGGGGUCGCGGGGCCCUGCGGUCGGCGGGGAUGGCCCCCACCCGCUGCGGGCGCGUUCGCCUGCUCACCCCCCCGCCCCCUCCACCGCCUUCUCCUUCCGCUCUGCGGCGGCAACGACAGCGACUCAAGUCCAGUUUUCCUGACCUGUAACCUCCAGGCGACCCUGCCGAUCAGCCGCGUGACGAAGGAGCAUGGCUUUCUCUGGGAACCGAUGCUGUUGGCAUUUUCCUUGGAGUUUUCCUGAUAAAAUCCUUAAAAACAAAAGCCCCCCAGAAGAACACAGCCCAUGCUGACACCUAGACGUUUAGCCUUAAUGAAUCUCAGUUUGGACUUCUGACCUUCAAAACUGUAAUAUCUUACAUUCAUGACAUUUUUAGCCAGCUCAGCUCCAGAACCACCCCCUCCAAGUUGUCUUCCUGGAUUUACUCAGCCCAAAGCUAUACUUCUCUUUCCUGGUGAGUGCUCUGACUGGAUCAGCUGAGCAGACUCCCCCAGUGUCCAUGAGUAUCACCGGGUGAAGGAAGGUGGUCCUUCUCCCAGGAGGAGGGUGACUGGUGGAGCCAUGUGCAGAUUUCUUGCUGGAAGUGAAGACCAAACUCCCAGAAAGACCUAAGAGGGCUCAGCAGCCUGAAGAUGGGAACGGUGCUGGUGGCUGACUGCAUCGAUCUGGAUUGGGAAGUUGUGUGGCAGGCAGGCCAUUCGUGAAGUCCUACUUAUACAAGGAACUCAACUGCCAAGUAUUGGAGACUUCGGAUGGAGGGUGAAGUGAACCAGUUUCUGUAAGAGGAGAGAUUCAGCCUCAGGUGGCCAGACUGAUCCAGGAGCUGAGGGCUGCAGGACAGUCCAGAAAAUUUGAACUUUCUCCUGGCAGCGGCCCCUGGGGGAGGCACAGAUGCAAAGCACACGCAGAAAAGCAAGCUAGGAAGGCAGCUGAGCCUCGGAUGUGAACAGGCGACAAUGGCAUCUUCAGAGUGGGCGCAGGUGGGAGCCUUGCUGGUUGAGGCACGAACCUUUCCACGGGGGACGGGGGGCAAGCC